GGCGUGGUAGCUCAGCUGGUUAGAGCGCACGACUCAUAAUCGUGAGGUCGAGAGUUCAAGUCUCUCCCACGCCACCC
rnacentral:tRNA from 1 species